rnacentral:rRNA from 1 species
GACGAACGCUGGCGGCGUGCCUAAUACAUGCAAGUCGAACGCAGUGGGGACGGGUGAGUAACACGUGGGUAACCUCCCAUCAGAGGGGAUAACACUUGGAAACAGGUGCUAAACCGAUAAUGCUGGAUGGACCCUCGGUGCAUUAUCUAGAUGGUGAGGUAACGGCUCACCAAGGCCACGAUGCAUAGCCGACCGGAGAGGGUGAUCGGCCACACUGCGACUGAGACACGGCCCCGAUUCCGACGCGAUGCAGCAGUAGGGAAUCUUCGGCAAUGGACGAAAGUCUGACCGAGCAACUCCGCGUGAGUGAAGAAGGUUGUCGGAUCGUAAAACUCUGUUGUUAGAGAAGCGGUAUCUAACCAGAAAGCCACGGCUAACUACGUGCCAGCAGCCGCGGUAAUUC